UACGUAGGGACCAAGCGUUGUUCGGAUUUACUGGGCGUAAAGGGCGCGUAGGCGGCAUGACAAGUCACUUGUGAAAUCUCCGGGCUUAACUCGGAACGGCCAGGUGAUACUGUCACGCUAGAGUGCAGAAAGGGCAAUCGGAAUUCUUGGUGUAGCGGUGAAAUGCGUAGAUAUCAAGAGGAACACCUGAGGCGAAGGCGGGUUGCUAGGCUGACACUGACGCUGAGUGCGCGAAAGCCAGGGGAGCAAACGGG
rnacentral:rRNA from 1 species